rnacentral:rRNA from 1 species
AAGCGUGCGCAGGCGGUUUUGUAAGACUGUCGUGAAAUCCCCGGGCUCAACCUGGGAAUGGCGAUGGUGACUGCAAGGCUAGAGUUUGGCAGAGGGGGGUAGAAUUCCACGUGUAGCAGUGAAAUGCGUAGAUAUGUGGAGGAACACCGAUGGCGAAGGCAGCCCCCUGGGUCAAAACUGACGCUCAUGCACGAAAAGCGUGGGGAGCAAACAGGAUUAGAUACCCUUGU